GAGUUUGAUCGUGGCUCAGGAUGAACGCUAGCGGCGCGCCUAAUGCAUGCAAGUCGAGCGAUGAGGCACCUUUGGGUGUACAUCAGCGGCAGACGGGUGAGUAACACGUAGGUGACCUACCCCGAAGACGGGGAUAACAGGUGGAAACAUCUGCUAAUACCCGAUGGACUCUGAGCGGAAGCGAGGAGUAAAGGCUACGGUGCUUCGGGAGGGCCUGCGGCCUAUCAGCUAGUUGGUAGGGUAACGCCUACCAAGGCGAAGACGGGUAGGGGUGUGAGAGCACGGCCCCCCACAAUGGGACUGAGACACGGCCCAUACUCCUACGGGAGGCAGCAGCAGGGAAUAUUGCGCAAUGGGCGGAAGCCUGACGCAGCGACGCCGCGUGGAUGAAGAAGGCCUUGGUUGUAAAUCUUUCAGGGGUACGAGGAAGGACGGUACCCGUGGAAUAAGCGUCGGCGUAACUACGUGCCAGCCG
rnacentral:rRNA from 1 species